ACAACCGAGGUGCAAAGGCUGUCGCUGACCCUCAAAGGUUGUGCACGCCCGAGCGCUCUCACACAAUCCAUCUCACCUUUGUGCAUCACCGCGUGGGUCCCCUUUGCGGGAGGGCUCGCGUUUUCACAUAAUAACUCGAUACAGUGUAGAAUGUUUCUUUUGCGGUCACACGCAAUCAAUACAACUUUCAACAACGGAUCUCUUGGCUCUCGCAUCGAUGAAGAACGCAGCGAAAUGCGAUACGUAAUGUGAAUUGCAGAAUUCAGUGAAUCAUCGAAUCUUUGAACGCACCUUGCGCCCCUUGGCAUUCCGAGGGGCACACCCGUUUGAGUGUCGUGAAUUCUUCAAAACCCUUUUUUCUUCGAACCAUCGUGGUCGGGAAAAGGAUUUUUGGACUUGGAGGUUUAAUGCUCGCCCUUUCUUUUGAAAGCGAGCUCCUCUCAAAUGAAUUAGUGGGGUCCGCUUUGCUGAUCCUUGACGUGAUAAAAUGUUUCUACGUUUUGGGUUUAGCACUGUCGCUUGGNUGCCUGCUCCUAACCCGUCUCAUUGACAAUGAUGGUGCUCUGGUCACUGCCGUCUACAUCGGCGGGAGGCUGGACCCACAAAAAGAAAAACCUUGA
rnacentral:rRNA from 1 species